rnacentral:rRNA from 1 species
GAAUAUUGGACAAUGGGGGCAACCCUGAUCCAGCCAUCCCGCGUGUGUGAAGAAGGUCUUCGGAUUGUAAAGCACUUUAAGGUGGGAGGAAGGGCUUUAGGCUAAUACCCUGCAGCUUUUACGUUACCAACAGAAUACGCACCAGCUAACUCGGUGCCAGCAGUCGCGGUAAUACAGAGGGUGCAAGCGUUAGUCGGAAUUACUGGGCGUAAAGCGCGCGUAGGUGGUUCAGUAAGAUGGGUGUGAAAUCCCCGGGCUUAACCUGGGAACUGCUUUCAUAACUGCUGAGCUAGAGUACGGUAGAGGGUAGUGGAAUUUCCUGUGUAGCGGUGAAAUGCGUAGAUAUAGGAAGGAACACCAGUGGCGAAGGCGACUACCUGGACUGAUACUGACACUGAGGUGCGAAAGCGUGGGGAGCAAAC